rnacentral:rRNA from 1 species
UACGAAGGGGGCUAGCGUUGUUCGGAAUUACUGGGCGUAAAGCGCACGUAGGCGGAUUUGCCAGUCAGGGGUGAAAUCCCGGGGCUCAACCUCGGAACUGCCUUUGAUACAGCAAGUCUAGAGUCCGGAAGAGGCGGGUGGAAUUCCUAGUGUAGAGGUGAAAUUCGUAGAUAUUAGGAAGAACACCAGUGGCGAAGGCGGCCCGCUGGUCCGGCACUGACGCUGAGGUGCGAAAGCGUGGGGAGCAAACAGG